UCCAGUCUCUUUUUUCGUAGCUCAAAUUUCUGUAAUUUCCUUUAUAAACCAAGGUUGUUGGACAUGUGUCUCAGUGAACCCAGCAAGGUAACAAUAUCACAUUUCACAUUACAUAUUACUGAUCAACAUGGUAGUCUAGCUACACCAACAGCAGAAAUACUGAAGUCAAUACUGUAAAGUUUAACAGCAGCACACACUAUAAACUCUGAAAUAACCAUACAGUUGAUUCAUCUCCGGUAAUUUAAUUGGGCUGACUCUUUGUUAGGUGUGUUUAAUGUGCAGAAUAAUUCCCAAUUAUGUACAAUUAUAAUAUGUUAAAACGGACUUAUGUACAUAAGGCCAUUAAUAAUUAACUGUACGUAGCUAUUUGCUUUAUGACUAUCUAGACAGUGUGAAGAAGUGAAGUAUUGAAAUUAUUUUAUGUUGCAUAAUGACAACAUGUUGCCCCUAUACAUACAGGACAAAGUUCAAUGACCGCCACCAGCUGGAUGGUGAGUGCAGAGGGGCGUGUAAUUGUUGAGCUGGACAAAGAGAACACCUUUGCUGAUGCGAUGUCAGUCUUCUUUGGUUCAUUCUAUGUAUUGAACCUGGAAUACCAGGAGUCAGCGUGUGCAACAUUGGAACUGAUUCAGAAGUAUGUUUGAACAGUCAGCUAAUAGUGAUAGAUGAUGAAUAAAUUAUCCCUAAGUAACUCAUUAUUUCAAAUCACAACUCAAUGUUACUGUAUGUUACUAUUUAUUGUGGCAUGUUUUAAGGUUUUUUGUAAGGAUAAACCCUGAAGAGGGAACAAAAUGUAUCUCCAAGGUUGGGACAAGCAGAAGGACUGGGACCACUGUGAAGUGAAAGGUUGUUCACAUUAACCUUCAUGUCACAACUUUCCUCCAGUGGCUUACUGAAUUUGAGUGGAAAACUUCAAAUUAGAUGAUCCAUGGCCCAUGCUUUCUGGACAUUUACACAAGACGAACAACAAUGAAGACAAGCUCUCUCACCAUCUUGCAAGACGCUGUCUCUGUCCAAUAGGUUUUUUGAGUGCAACAGUUUUGAUUUUCUUUUUCCUUCUUUUACCCGUUUGUUAAAAAUUAUUUCAGCUACUUACACUUUAAUUGUCACAUGUAUUGGCUCACCCUACAAAUCAAUGAACUCAGUCCUCAAAGCAAGGUCAGGGUUCAGUGCAGGUCAGUCAAGUUCCUUCACACCACACACGCUCAUCCAUGUCCUUGUGGACCCUGCUUUGUGCAUUGAUUUGGUGGUGUGAGCCAGUAUUUUGG